UUAAGACAGAUUACUUCGGUUUGAAGUCUUUUAUGACUGAGUGGCGGACGGGUGAGUAACGCGUGGGUAACCUGCCUCAUACAGGGGGAUAGCAGCUGGAAACGGCUGGUAAUACCGCAUAAGCGCACAGUACCACAUGGUACAGUGUGAAAAACUCCGGUGGUAUGAGAUGGACCCGCGUCUGAUUAGCUUGUUGGCGGGGUAACGGCCCACCAAGGCGACGAUCAGUAGCCGACCUGAGAGGGUGACCGGCCACAUUGGGACUGAGACACGGCCCAGACUCCUACGGGAGGCAGCAGUGGGGAAUAUUGCACAAUGGAGGAAACUCUGAUGUAGCGACGCCGCGUGAGUGAAGAAGUAGUUCGCUAUGUAAAGCUCUAUCAGCAGGGAAGAUAGUGACGGUACCUGACUAAGAAGCUCCGGCUAAAUACGUGCCAGCAGCCGCGGUAAUACGUAUGGAGCAAGCGUUAUCCGGAUUUACUGGGUGUAAAGGGAGUGUAGGUGGCCAGGCAAGUCAGAAGUGAAAGCCCGGGGCUCAACCCCGGGACUGCUUUUGAAACUGCAGGGCUGGAGUGCAGGAGGGGCAAGUGGAAUUCCUAGUGUAGCGGUGAAAUGCGUAGAUAUUAGGAGGAACACCAGUGGCGAAGGCGGCUUGCUGGACUGUAACUGACACU
rnacentral:rRNA from 1 species